rnacentral:rRNA from 1 species
UACGGGGGGGGCAAGCGUUGUUCGGAAUUACUGGGCGUAAAGGGCUCGUAGGCGGCCAACUAAGUCAGACGUGAAAUCCCUCGGCUUAACCGGGGAACUGCAUCUGAUACUGGAUGGCUUGAGUUCGGGAGAGGGAUGCGGAAUUCCCAGUGUAGCGGUGAAAUGCGUAGAUAUUGGUAGGAACACCAGUGGCGAAGGCGGCUACCUGGACCGGUUCUGACGCUGAGGCGCGAAAGCGUGGGUAGCAAACAGG